UACGAAGGGGGCUAGCGUUGCUCGGAAUCACUGGGCGUAAAGCGCACGUAGGCGGCUUUUUACGUCAGGGGUGAAAUCCUGGAGCUCAACUCCAGAACUGCCUUUGAUACUGAGGAGCUCGAGUCCGGGAGAGGUGAGUGGAACUGCGAGUGUAGAGGUGAAAUUCGUAGAUAUUCGCAAGAACACCAGUGGCGAAGGCGGCUCACUGGCCCGGUACUGACGCUGAGGUGCGAAAGCGUGGGGAGCAAACAGG
rnacentral:rRNA from 1 species